UGGUUAUGAAACACGAUACAUCUAUUGUUUGCAUCUCCAUGGACAGGUAAGUGAUGAAUUCCACUGUAACACGAGGCACCGAGGAAAUCUUUGCAAGUUUAAAAAAUUGUUGGCACGCGCGUAGAGGCCGGAAGCGGGGGCUCGAAACCGAGGGUGCAAACGAAAGAGGUGGACUCCACGUUUGUCUCUCGAGCCCUCCACUAACUUUUUCCCCCCCAUAUGGCCGGCACAUGUGGGUUCCCCAUGGGCUACGGAGGGGGCAAAGUAAUCGGGAAACCAGCUGAUGGUCGCCGUUUGUUGGCCUUCUUCAGUUACUCUUGGACCGUGCUGUGCUCCGAAUCCGCUUUCGCGGCGUUCCAUCCAACCGUCUCCGAUUUCCACGAUAAAUUGCAGCAAGUAUCACCGUGAGAAACGACCUUAACCCGUUCCCUAACUGGAUCCACGAGAGGAAAGACGAGACAGAGCAGCAGCAGCAGCGCAGGACGCCGAUAUAAUCGAGAUGAUACCGGAUUCGGAAAGCAUUUGUCAGACUUCCGAGGCUGCGGUUAGGAGUACGGACGUAUAUCACAAGAUUAAGAACACGCCGGAAGGGGAAGCGGCCUCGGUGACCGCCUGGAAGCGAUAUCAGCAACUAGUGGCGAUCGUUGAGUCCAGGGGAGGAAAGUUCAACCGGAAGUCGAUGAUCGAGGCAAUCUUUCGCGGAAACGAUCUCGUCUACGCGAGCCAUUGAUCUCAGGAUCAAUAUCGUAGAUCUACGUUGCAAUGAAUUUUUACCAAAGCGAGCGGAUUUAUAUUUAUACAGUAGCGUGGAACAAUUUGGAUUGUAAAGAUACGAUUUGUCGCCUUGUAAUAUUUAAUUACACGAUAUCGAUAAUUGCACUGCGGGUCAUAAAACGUUCGUGGCAAUUACACAGCAUAGAAUGCGUGCAAUGUGCAAAAGAUUUAUCAAAGAUACGGAAUAUAAUUUUUAGUAGGUGACACGAAUCUCUACGCAGAUUGUUUCUCAAUAAGUUUCGUAGUAGACUACGGAUGUUUAUGCAAAUUUAGAUUUUUAUAAAAACACGAUUAAACGAACGCACCCAAAGUAAAGUUUCUUUUCAUUCGGAAUACUUUACUUUGGAUAUUUUAUACAUCUUUGUACAAAAUGCAUAGAUAUCGAUACUAUAUAUCGUGAGCUAUGUUUGUAAAAAUAUAAAAUUGCAUAGAAAAUCCGUACUCUGUGGAUAAUAUAUCGCGAUAUUUCUUAAAAUACUCGAAUAGUUUAGACAGCGAUAAGUUAAUUAAUUGCUCGUUAGAAGUGUUACUUUCAAAGCUUUAUCAUAGUCCUUGUAUUUAUAACGAUAUGCUCUAAUUAAUCGUUCUCUGAUUAUAUACUCUAAUUAAUUGAGGCUAUGGAACCAGCGAGCAUCGACGAGCGUUUCUCUGACAAAUUGACACAAUGAUAUACGUUCGAUUCUCUUCGAUAUCAAAAUGUCGAAAAUCAAUUAAUCGACGUAGCAACGUGACAAUAACGCGAUCUCAGCUUCAACACAUACUCACGUAUCUCCUUUUUCCCUCGAAUGGAUAAUCAAUCUCUACGCCACUGGCGAGAACAAUUAGAGGUACGAUUAACGAUGCCAAACCGUGUAUUGCUAGUCAACGUUAGAGUAAUAAAAAGACAGUAUGUAUACAGAUUAAUUAGUUAAUUAAACGAAGAUUAGGACCUAUCCGAGGGCGUACACGUGUAA